CGUGAUGGCUUUGCAAUCUUCAUCCUCCUCCUUUUUGAUGUCAAAUAGGGGCAAUUGAUCAAAGGGGAUGGUCAAGUGGCUUAAAAAGGCAAAGGGGUUUGACUUUAUCAUGCCAGAUGGUUGCAGCAAGGAUCCGUUCACCGGUCACCAAUCAAGGUGAAGAGCUACGGACCCUCGAUGGAAUCUAGAUUGUGGUAUAUUUUCCUGAUCCCAGAUUGUUGGACGUCUGUUGGAUUUCAAGAUGACUCCCUUGCAUCU
rnacentral:lncRNA from 1 species